AAACCAGCACCUCAAGUGGUCAGGAUGAUUAUUGGGCCUAAAGCAUCCGUAGCCUGCUCUGUAAGUUUUCGGUUAAAUCUGUAUGCUCAACAUACAGGCUGCCGGGAAUACUGCAGGACUAGGGAGUGGGAGAGGUAGACGGUACUCGGGAGGAAGUGGUAAAAUGCUUUGAUCUCUCGAUGACCACCUGUGGCGAAGGCGGUCUACCAGAACACGUCCGACGGUGAGGGAUGAAAGCUGGGGGAGCAAACCGGAUUAGAAACCCCGGUAGUCC
rnacentral:rRNA from 1 species